rnacentral:rRNA from 1 species
GAUGAACGCUGGCGGCGUGCCUAAAACAUGCAAGUCGAGCGGUAAGGCUCUGCACUUAGUGUUUGAUCGAAGUAAUUUAUUACUACAGUAGACCAAUCGGAACCUUGGCGGGUGAAGAGCGGAAUAGGAAGAUCGAAUUAUAAGUGUAGAGUACACGAGCGGCGGACGGGUGAGUAACACGUGGGAAUCUACCCCAAACUGAGGGAUAAGCACCGGAAACGGUGUCUAAAUACCGCAUAUGGUCUUCGGAUUAAAGCUUCGGCGGUUUGGGAAGAGCCCGCGUAAGAUUAGCUAGUUGGUGAGGUAAAGGCUCACCAAGGCGACGAUCUUUAGCUGGUUUGAGAGGAUGAUCAGCCACACUGGAACUGAGACACGGUCCAGACUCCUACGGGAGGCAGCAGUUAGGAAUUUUCCACAAUGGGCGCAAGCCUGAUGGAGCAACGCCGCGUGCAGGAUGAAGGUUUUCGGAUUGUAAACUGCUUUUAUGUGUGAGAAUAUGACGGUAACAC